CNUGCAGUCGACGCUUUGUGGUUCAACUGAUUUGAAGAGCUUGCUCAGAUAUGACGAUGGACAUUGCAAAGAGUGGCGAACGGGUGAGUAACACGUGGGAAACCUACCUCUUAGCAGGGGAUAACAUUUGGAAACAGAUGCUAAUACCGUAUAACAAUGACAACCGCAUGGUUGUUAUUUGAAAGAUGGUUCUGCUAUCACUAAGAGAUGGUCCCGCGGUGCAUUAGCUAGUUGGUAAGGUAAUGGCUUACCAAGGCGAUGAUGCAUAGCCGAGUUGAGAGACUGAUCGGCCACAAUGGGACUGAGACACGGCCCAUACUCCUACGGGAGGCAGCAGUAGGGAAUCUUCCACAAUGGGCGAAAGCCUGAUGGAGCAACGCCGCGUGUGUGAUGAAGGGUUUCGGCUCGUAAAACACUGUUGUAAGAGAAGAAUGACAUUGAGAGUAACUGUUCAAUGUGUGACGGUAUCUUACCAGAAAGGAACGGCUAAAUACGUGCCAGCAGCCNGCGGU
rnacentral:rRNA from 1 species